GGCACUAUGGCCGAGCGGUUAAGGCGAAAGACUUGAAUACCUAUGGGUUCAGGCAUCUUUUGGGAUUCUCCCUCGCAGGUUCGAGUCCUGCUGGUGUCG
rfam:Sugiyamaella lignohabitans strain CBS 10342 chromosome C, complete sequence.